UCGGAAGGUAAACAGUCCAGUGCUGAUCGCUGAAGGGCACUCCCGUGGCAGAUUACGAAUGCAACAGGGGGCAUUUCAGUUGCACCAAUGAUCAGCAGGCCCUUUAAUCUGCCAAUAUUUCACUACCAUGAAUCCACAUUCUCCUCAUUUGCAUGCAUGAUCCAAGACAACUUCCCAACGAAUUGCACAGAAUGCCUCUUAAAAUCAAAACAAGUAGCGAGAACACAUGCAAGAACUCCUAAUUCAGGAACGACUCAAUAAAUUCAUCUUUAGAGCCUUUUCCCGGAUGGAUGAUGAGCACCAUGAUAAUCCCGAUAAAGACAGCGAUGAUGGUGGUAGUCGUGUAGUAAACAACAGCUCUUAGACCCAUCUUCCCCGAAGCUCGACUGUCCAGUGCUGCCAUACCUGCACACAGUGCACUAACAUGGCAACCUCCACCACUCCACCACCACCAGUUGAGUCCCAUCCUGCAUGGGGGUAGGCUCCUCGCCCCUGCCUCCUAUCUCCGGCAGGAUAUGACAGUUCCGAGGACAACUUCUUCGGACCGCCAGACGGGGCUUACGCCAAAGAGAGACGUUACAUUUCUGUUUUAUAUUCAUCAAA